rnacentral:rRNA from 1 species
AACGAACGCUGGCGGCGCGCCUAAUACAUGCAAGUCGAGCGAGAAGACGUAGCAAUACGUUUGUAAAGCGGCGAACGGGUGAGGAAUACAUGGGUAACCUACCCUCGAGUGGGGAAUAACUAACCGAAAGGUUAGCUAAUACCGCAUACGGCUCCUGGUCUGCGGAUCAGGAGAGAAAGCGAUACCGUGGGUAUCGCGCUCUUGGAUGGGCUCAUGUCCUAUCAGCUUGUUGGUGAGGUAACGGCUCACCAAGGCUUCGACGGGUAGCUGGUCUGAGAGGACGAUCAGCCACACUGGCACUGCGACACGGGCCAGACUCCUACGGGAGGCAGCAGUAAGGAAUAUUGCGCAAUGGGCGACAGCCUGACGCAGCGACGCCGCGUGGGGGAUGAAGGUCUUCGGAUUGUAAACCCCUUUCGGCAGGGAAGAUGGAACGGGUAACCGUUCGGACGGUACCUGCAGAAGCAGCCACGGCUAACUUCGUGCCAGCCGCCGCGGUAAUAC